AAGCAUAUUAUUAAGCGGAGGAAAAGAAACUAACCAGGAUUCCCCUAGUAACGGCGAGUGAAGCGGGAGAAGCUCAUGAUGUGAAUCUGUGCUKUGCACGGAAUUGUGGUCUAUAGUUGUGGGCAUUAUUGGGAUCGGGCCAAGUCCCUUGGAACAGGGCAGCUGAGAGGGUGAGACUCCCGUUCGCCUGGUCCCUUGAGCCUGUUUCUACGAGUCGAGUUGUUUGGGAUUGCAGCUCUAAUUGGGUGGUAAAUUCCAUCUAAAGCCAAAUACUGGUGGGAGACCGAUAGCGUACAAGUACCGUGAGGGAAAGAUGCAAAGCCGCGCGAAAGCGCUGUUAAAGAGUACCUGAACUUGCUGAAAAGGAAGCGAAGGAAACCAGUGUUGUCUGCGUCAUACUUCCCCUUCUGCUUGCGGUUGGGGCGCUGUGGCCAGUGCAGUGCACGUUGGUUGUGGUUGCCGGAUUUGCAUGGGAGAGAGUUGAUCUCUGGUGCUUGCUGCGAUUGCGACUGUACGUGAACGAAAUGGUUUUCUUUUUCCC
rnacentral:rRNA from 1 species